UUUUGCGGACUUGCGAACCAAAACCACACUGGAAUUCAUAACAUCUAGUGUCCUUCGAAUCCGAAGUUCGUUCGAAAAGUGCUGCGAAGUAAAACGAACUUCGGAUUCGGGACACUAGUAUUCGGUUCACAGUGCUGAACUGGACAAGGAACCGAAAGGGCCGCGCAGACGGCCUGACGGAGGGGAGGACCAAGAAUGAGACGGACCACGAUUCGGUCGGCAAUCGCCUUUGCCAUUUUGAUGUGCGCAUCGAGCGCGCCCGUUUACGCACAG
rnacentral:misc_RNA from 1 species